rnacentral:ncRNA from 1 species
UAUCGCUAGGGGAGCUUAAGCUGAGAUUGAGUCUUUGCCGAAAGGUGGGAUUCUAACCCUCAUUACCUGACCCGGACAAUGCCGGCGUAGGGAAGC